rnacentral:misc_RNA from 1 species
UUUCCGUAGGUGAACCUGCGGAAGGAUCAUUCUUAAUAAGUGUUUUAUGGCACUUUUUUAAAUCCAUAUCCACCUUGUGUGCAAUGUCAGGGUUGAUUUUUCUCUCGAGAGGAUCAACCCCAAACAUCAACUAUAUCUCAACUCUUUGUCUGAAAAAUAUUAUGAAUAAAACAAUUCAAAAUACAACUUUCAACAACGGAUCUCUUGGCUCUC